GACGAACGCUGGCGGCGUGCUUAACACAUGCAAGUCGAACGGAAAGGCCCUGCUUUUGUGGGGUGCUCGAGUGGCGAACGGGUGAGUAACACGUGAGUAACCUGCCCUUGACUUUGGGAUAACUUCAGGAAACUGGGGCUAAUACCGGAUAGGAGCUCCUGCUGCAUGGUGGGGGUUGGAAAGUUUCGGCGGUUGGGGAUGGACUCGCGGCUUAUCAGCUUGUUGGUGGGGUAGUGGCUUACCAAGGCUUUGACGGGUAGCCGGCCUGAGAGGGUGACCGGCGACAUUGGGACUGAGAGACGGCCCAGACGCCUACGGGAGGCAGCAGUGGGGAAUAUUGCACAAUGGGCGGAAGCCUGAUGCAGCAACGCCGCGCGCGGGAUGACGGCCUUCGGGUUGUAAACCGCUUUCGCCUGUGACGAAGCGGGAGUGACGGUAAUGGGUAAAGAAGCACCGGCUAACUACGUG
rnacentral:rRNA from 1 species